CAAACCCUCAGCCGCAGGUCUUGUACCCACGGUUGGUCUUGAGCUCGGUCACCCGCGGUCAAACGCGAGGCCGGCUUUAAAUUGGCAGCUCUGCGGUCAACAGCUCUGGAAGAACAUAGUAAAUCAUUCUUGUUCCUAUCUAUAAGCCGUUCGAUCCGCCUGAAGAACAAACCACAUCACAUCAAG
rnacentral:misc_RNA from 1 species